rnacentral:rRNA from 1 species
GACGAACGCUGGCGGCAGGCCUAAUACAUGCAAGUCGAACGGUGUCUUCGGACAUAGUGGCGCACGGGUGCGUAACACGUAUGCAACCUACCUUACAUUGGGGGAUAGCCUUUCGAAAGGGAGAUUAAUACCGCAUAAGACAGUAGCUGGGCAUCCAGCAGCUGUUAAAGAUUUAUCGAUGUAAGCUGGGCAUGCGUCCAAUUAGCUAGUUGGUGAGGUAACGGCUCACCAAGGCAAUGAUUGGUAGGGGAACUGAGAGGUCAAUCCCCCACACUGGCACUGAGAUACGGGCCAGACUCCUACGGGAGGCAGCAGUAGGGAAUAUUGGGCAAUGGACGCAAGUCUGACCCAGCCAUGCCGCGUGCAGGAUGAAGGCGUUAUGCGUUGUAAACUGCUUUUAUACAGGAAGAAACGACUCUUGCGAGAGGCAUUGACGGUACUGUAUGAAUAAGCACCGGCUAACUCCGUGCCAGCCGCCGCAGUAACAC